rnacentral:tRNA from 1 species
GCCGUCUUAGCUCCGUGGUAGAGCAAUUGGCUUUUAACCACGUGGUCGUGGGUUUGAUCCCCACACACGGCG